UACGAAGGGGGCUAGCGUUACUCGGAUUGACUGGGCGUAAAGGGCGCGUAGGCGGUUUGUACAGUCAGACGUGAAAUCCCUGGGCUCAACCUGGGGGCUGCGUUUGAUACGUGCAGACUUGAGUUCGGAAGAGGGUCGUGGAAUUCCCAGUGUAGAGGUGAAAUUCGUAGAUAUUGGGAAGAACACCGGUGGCGAAGGCGGCGACCUGGUCCGAUACUGACGCUGAGGCGCGAAAGCGUGGGGAGCAAACAGG
rnacentral:rRNA from 1 species